GGUUGAUCCUGCCGGACCCGACUGCUAUUGGGGUGAGGCUAAGCCAUGCGAGUCAGCGCUUCUAGCCAUGAUGGAGCGCGGCAUACGGCUCAGUAACAUGUGGUUAACCUACCCUCAGGUGGGGGACACCCUCGGGAAACUGAGGCUGAUCCCACAUAGAUGAUGGAUCCUGGAAUGGUUCUUCAUCCAAACGGUAUGCGGCUCAUGCGUCGCGUGCCGCCUGAGGAUGGGACCGCACCCUAUCAGGUAGUUGGUGGGGUAAUGGCCCACCAAGCCUAUAACGGGUACGGGCCCUGAGAGGGGGAGCCCGGAGAUGGGCACUGAGACAAGGGCCCAGGCCCUACGGGGCGCAGCAGGCGCGAAACCUCUGCAAUGCGCGAAAGCGCGACAGGGCCACCCCGAGUGCUAGGCGCUGAGUCUAGCUUUUCCCUAGUGUAGUGAGCUAGGGGAAUAAGCGGGGGGCAAGCCUGGUGUCAGCCGCCGCGGUAAUACCAGCUCCGCGAGUGGUCGGGACGAUUAUUGGGCCUAAAGCGUUCGUAGCCGGCCUAUCAAGUCUCUGGUUAAAUUUCAAGGCUUAACCUUGAGCGUGCUGGAGAUACUGUUAGGCUAGGGGGCGGUAGAGGUUGAGGGUACUUCGCGGGUAGGGGCUAAAUCUUGUAAUCCUUGGGGGACCACCAGUGGCGAAGGCGUCUAACUAGAACGGAUCCGACGGUAAGGGACGAAACCCUGGGGCGC
rnacentral:rRNA from 1 species